ACUGCUCAGUAACACGUGGACAACCUGCCCUUAGGUUGGGUAUAAACCCGGGAAACUGGGUAUAAUACCCGAUAGGUCUCGAUUGCUGGAAUGCAUCGAGAUUUAAAGCUCCGGCGCCUAAGGAUGGGUCUGCGGCCUAUCAGGUAGUAGUUGGUGUAGCGUACCUACUAGCCUACGACGGGUACGGGUUGUGAGAGCAAGAGCCCGGAGAUGGAUUCUGAGACACGAAUCCAGGCCCUACGGGGUGCAGCAGGCGCGAAAACUUUACAAUGCUGGCAACAGCGAUAAGGGAACCUCGAGUGCCAGGUUACAAAUCUGGCUGUCGAGAUGCCUAAAAAGCAUUUCAUAGCAAGGGCCGGGCAAGACCGGUGCCAGCCGCCGCGGUAACACCGGCGGCUCGAGUGGUAACCGUUAUUAUUGGGUCUAAAGGGUCUGUAGCCGGCCGGAUAAGUCUCUUGAGAAAUCUGGCAGCUUAACUGUCAGGCUUUCAGGAGAUACUGUCUGGCUCGAGGCCGGGAGAGGUGAGAGGUACUUCAGGGGUAGGGGUGAAAUCUUGUAAUCCUUGAAGGACCACCAGUGGCGAAGGCGUCUCACCAGAACGGACCUGACGGCAAGGGACGAAAGCUAGGGGCACGAACCGGAUUAGAUACCCGGGUAGUCCAAGCCGUAAACGAUACUCGCUAGGUGUCGGCCACGGUGCGACCGUUGUCGGUGCCGUAGGGAAGCCGUGAAGCGAGCCACCUGGGAAGUACGGCCGCAAGGCUGAAACUUAAAGGAAUUGGCGGGGGAGCAC
rnacentral:rRNA from 1 species